GAGGGUAUAGCUCAGUGGUAGAGAGCUGUGCUUAGCAUGCAUGAGGUCCUGGGAUCAAUCCCUGGUACCUCCA
rnacentral:tRNA from 1 species